rnacentral:rRNA from 1 species
CUUUUAUUAUGUUGGUGUAUAUCUGGUUUGAUAUUAGUGUUUAAUAGCUUAAUUUGUGUAUUUAUUAUUUAAGCCAAGUCUAUGUGCUGCUUGUAAAAGGUUUCAUGCGUUACAUUUAUAAGUUUGGUUAUGUAAUUAACUUUGUAAAUUGAGGACUUAAAAGUAAUGUAGAAUAAGUUUGUUUACAUGAAAAGGGUUUAGCUUGGGUACACACCGCCCGUCACA